AUGGAUUAUCAACGCCAUAAUACCUCAUGUCCUUUGAGAAUACUUUGCCUUUUUAAUCUGGUAUCCUCUGUAUUGUUGUCCAACUGUCCUCAUAUCUGUGACCCAGGCUUCAUUAUUAACAAGUGUAAGUGUGUCCCUUGUCUCGAUGGCCACUACUGGUACACGCAGAACGGCCUUCCGAAGUGUGACCCCUGCAGCAAAGCCUGCUCAGUUGAUCAGCACUUGACACAGGUGAAGGAAUGCAGCCGGGACUCAAACCGUGAGUGCCACUGUGACAGCGGCUUUUUCUGUGACAUCGCUGCCCAGUAUACCUGCAGGAGGUGUAAGCCGUGCUCUCCCGGAACCUUCUCCAACAAACCAAACCUAACCAUGUCCUGCAAACCCCACACAGAUUGUGGCCAUAAGGGAAUGAUCAUGGUGACAGAGGGCACUGCCUCUCAGGAUCGUGUAUGUGCCCAGACCUCCCCUAACUCUCCUACAACCACUGCACCUCCAACUGUCCACAGCUCAGAGAUAGGCUUUCAUUCUUCUACCUCCAGUGGAGUCAGCACCACCCGAAAACCCCCCAUCAUAGCAUUCCCAUCUAGACUGGUGGGGUCUACAUCUCCUGAUGCCUUUCCCAAAGCCAUAAUUUACACAUCUGCAGACCCUUUACCAGCCUUACUCACCAGGCCUUCUUUGUCCCAAGCCCAGAGCGAGCCCUCUACCUCCCUCCCAACUAGGAAACAAGUCACUGAACACAGCUCCUUUGACCCCAACACAAAGCUUACCACCAGGAGAAACCCCAGCAAGGUGGACAGUAACACCUCACCUGCAGAGUCUGCCUCUACACCUCCUCUUACCACAGAAGACAACGCAACAGAUACUGGACCGAGCCCUCCCACUCUCCCUUGGCUGCUGCUGAUAGGUGGGCUACUAGGGGUUGUCGUGCUGCUGGUUGGUUACUUUGUCCGUUGUAGGGAGAGGUCACUGAAGUCCAUGGACAAGUGGAAAGGUCCAGUAUUUGGUAAAAAUACGGAUUCCUAUAUACAGGCCCAGCCACCACAGGAGAGUUGCCCACACCUGGAGGCCCAGCAUCUUCUGGGGAGGGAGACUGGGGGAAAUCCUAGACAGGAUGGUGCAGGGUUGCUACCUCCAGGGGUCAUGAAGCAGCUCACAGUGGACCACUCUGGAGGAGAGAACAUUAGCAACACAGUGGGGUCCAUUUACAUCUACUCUCCGGGGACGGUUGUCCUGGGAUACAACAAGUCGGAGAGGAAGGUGGAUCAAGUGGAGAGUGGAGUAGAGGGCUGUCCCCUCACCAGAACACCCCAGCAGGAGUCCUCCUGCCCCCUCCCUGAGGGCCCUGCUCUGGGGCCAGAGAGAAUGAGUACACAGGAGGAGACCUGCAAAGAGCUGAGAUACCCCAUCCCGGCCACCAGCAACUGGGAACUAGAAAAAAAAUGA
rnacentral:lncRNA from 8 species